rnacentral:lncRNA from 1 species
GGGGGUUAUAUGUGGACUGACUGCAGCAUUGCGAGAAUAGAGAGAGAAGGCCUAGUCCUAGCGAAGACUAGCAUCUUCACGGUCUUGCAGCAAUAGACGAGAAUAGAACAGGGGUAACACAUUAAUAGUCAUAUUGUUGCAACAAUAUUAAAGUGAGGUCACGCCUAAAGAUCCUCCCUCGACUCCCUGCGAGGAAGCAAUCCCGAGGCAAACUAAUUCCAGUUAAGUAACCAUUGUAGUUGUAUAAGAUCGGGGCACAACUCCAAGUCGUCCUGUAACCGUGGACACGGCUAUCCGAAUAGUUAAUUUUCAUCCCUGCAGGGGUGCACCACAUGUCCCGUCACGCUCGAUAACACUCUGGCCGGACAUACUUUUCUGGGUCCUGCCCGGCCUCGGAAUAUCGACACGUCGCAGCCCCACCUAAGACUAAUCAGAGAGGCCAGCCCGCGGGUCUAAAUCCUAAGCACAAAGGGUUCGUGGGCCCAGUUCCCCUUCACGCUCCUGCACGUGGCGUGGGCGGCCGACGUCAGUCCUAGCAUCCCGUAAUCACAAGCGCGAUGCAUCUCGGGACGACUCGGGCGCGCGCCGCUACACUGCUGGCAUCUGAAAAGCUUCGGCUGAUACCGCGACGCCGAGUACCCAUAAUUCUUCCCGCGUAGCCGGUUAGUGUGAAAAGGUCUCCGACCAACCCAGAUCAAAUACCCAAAUCCAUUAGCAUUUUAAUUAGGCCAACAAACACAGUCUCGCGGGAAUCCACCCGUCUUACAACUAAUCACCAAUGAUCCCAGUAACAUGGUCGAGUAACUGUGUGGUUGUAACAUCGGGGGAAUCCGAGGUAUCACCCUCGUUGGAUUCCGAACGAUGUACCCGUCAAGGUGGGCUUAGAGGAAUCACCCUCGGGG